ACGCUGGCGGCAUGCUUUACACAUGCAAGUCGAACGGGGUGAGGGGGCAACUUCUCAUUCAGUGGCGAACGGGUGAGUAAUGCAUCGGAACGUGUCCCGUAGUGGGGGAUAACGCCGCGAAAGCGGCGCUAAUACCGCAUACGCUCUGUGGAGGAAAGCAGGGGACCCGCGAGGGCCUUGUGCUAGGGGGGCGGCCGAUGUCCGAUUAGCUAGUUGGUGGGGUAAUGGCUUACCAAGGCGACGAUCGGUAGCUGGUCUGAGAGGAUGAUCAGCCACACUGGGACUGAGACACGGCCCAGACUCCUACGGGAGGCAGCAGUGGGGAAUUUUGGACAAUGGGGGCAACCCUGAUCCAGCCAUGCCGCGUGCGGGAAGAAGGCCUUCGGGUUGUAAACCGCUUUUAGCCGGGAAGAAAAGGAUACGGAUAACACCCGUAUUUUUUGACGGUACCGGCGGAAUAAGCACCGGCUAACUACGUGCCAGCAGCCGCGGUAAUACGUAGGGUGCGAGCGUUAAUCGGAAUUACUGGGCGUAAAGCGUGCGCAGGCGGUUCGUUGUGUCGGCGGUGAAAGCCCCGGGCUCAACCUGGGAAUGGCCGUUGAAACUGGCGAACUGGAGUGUGGCAGAGGGGGGUGGAAUUCCGCGUGU
rnacentral:rRNA from 1 species